rnacentral:rRNA from 1 species
AUAACGGUCCUAAGGUAGCGAAAUUCCUUGUCGGGUAAGUUCCGACCUGCACGAAUGGCGUAACGAUGGCCACACUGUCUCCACCCGAGACUCAGUGAAAUUGAAAUUGCGGUUAAGAUGCCGUAUACCCGCGGCUAGACGGAAAGACCCCGUGAACCUUUACUAUAGCUUCACACUGGACUUUGACUUUAUUUGUGUAGGAUAGGUGGGAGACUUUGAAGCG